AACGCACAUUGCGCCCGGCAGUACUCUGCCGGGCAUGCCUGUUCGAGCGUCAUUUCAACCCUCAAGCCCUGCUUGGUGUUGGGGCCCUGCGGCUGCCGCAGGCCCUGAAAGGAAGUGGCGGGCUCGCUGCAACUCCGAGCGUAGUAGAACUCUAUCUCGCUAGGGAGGCGCGGCGCGCUCCGGCCGUUAAAAACCCCAUAUAUCAAAGGUUGACCUCGGAUCAGGUAGGAUUACCCGCUGAACUUAA
rnacentral:misc_RNA from 1 species